rnacentral:rRNA from 1 species
GACGAACGCUGGCGGCGUGCUUAACACAUGCAAGUCGAACGGUGAAGCGGGUGCUUGCACUCGUGGAUCAGUGGCGAACGGGUGAGUAACACGUGAGUAACCUGCCCUCCACUCUGGGAUAAGCGCUGGAAACGGCGUCUAAUACUGGAUAUGACCGACCCUCGCAUGGGGUGUUGGUGGAAAGAUUUAUCGGUGGUGGAUGGACUCGCGGCCUAUCAGCUUGUUGGUGGGGUAAUGGCCUACCAAGGCGACGACGGGUAGCCGGCCUGAGAGGGCGACCGACCACACUGGGACUGAGACACGGCCCAGACUCCUACGGGAGGCAGCAGUGGGGAAUAUUGCACAAUGGGCGAAAGCCUGAUGCAGCGACGCCGCGUGAGGGAUGACGGCCUUCGGGUUGUAAACCUCUUUCAGCAGGGAAGAAGCUUUUGUGACGGUACCUGCAGAAGAAGCACCGGCUAACUACGUGCCAGCCGCCGCAGUAA